rnacentral:tRNA from 1 species
GAGAGUAUAGCUCAAGUGGUAGAGAGCAUGCUUAACAUGCAUGAGGUCCUGGGUUCAAUUCCCAGUACCUCCU